GACGAACGCUGGCGGCGUGCUUAACACAUGCAAGUCGAGCGGUAAGGCCCUUUCGGGGGUACACGAGCGGCGAACGGGUGAGUAACACGUGGGUGACCUGCCCUCAGCUCUGGGAUAAGCCUGGGAAACUGGGUCUAAUACUGGAUAUGACUCCACGGUGCAUGUCGUGGGGUGGAAAGCCUUGUGCGGCUGAGGAUGGGCCCGCGGCCUAUCAGCUUGUUGGUGGGGUGAGGCCUACCAAGGCGACGACGGGUAGCCGGCCUGAGAGGGCGACCGGCCACACUGGGACUGAGACGCGGCCCAGACUCCUACGGGAGGCAGCAGUGGGGAAUCUUGCGCAAUGGGCGAAAGCCUGACGCAGCGACGCCGCGUGAGGGAUGACGG
rnacentral:rRNA from 1 species